GACAUUAAUUAAGAAUAACGUGGACACAAUCCCAGCAAAAUACAAAGUUGAAUUUCACAUUAUUUUAUCUAUUUACAUUAUGUGGAUAAAGGCAUACAAAGCACAAACAUUAUAGUUAUUACACCUUGCACACACAUUUUUUACAUUUAAUGGGUACAAAAUAAAUACAUAAUUAUGUUUUUGGUGGCAGCAAUACUUGAUUUAGAUAUGCUCCAAGGGCCCAUAUGGG